UGCGAAGGGACGCCGCGCGCCGGGACCGUUGCGCAUGCGCGCGGGGGCCCGUGAGCCCUUGCGAGCAGCCGCACCGGGGACCCCAGGACCCCAGGCCGGGGCUGAGGGCGCUUUCGAACCGCACGGAAUGGAAACGCGCGCGUUCGCUGCGAUUUGACACUUGGUUUGAAGGGAAGACCUUGGUUUUCCUUCCUCGUUCCUAAACCGGUAAAACCGCCCUACUGGAAUGACUCCUAGAGAUCAUCUCGGCCAACCACCUCGUUUUUAUUAAUGAAGCGACUGAGAAGACGGGAGGUGACGGAGGUGGGGCGCAGAGGCCAGGGGUGGUUAGCGGGAGUAGACUUUGGAUUCGAGGGAACGGGGUUUGACCUGUGUGAACAUGGGCACGUAACUGGGUUUCCUUGAGCUUUAGUUUUCCUCAGCUCCCUCGCAGGUUGUGGGUCAUAGGACCGACCUCCUCAAUUUGUUUGGAAAAGCAUGAAGGGGCGCCUGGGUGGCUCAGUGGGUUGAGCACUGGACUCUUGAUUUUGGCUCAGGUCAUGAUCCCCGCGUUUUGUGAUCAAGCCCCAAGCCUGCAUAGGAUUCUUUCUCUCCCUCUGCCCCUCUCCCCUGCUCUCUCUCUCUCUCCCCUCUCUCUCAAAUAACAACAUAACAUGAAAACACUAGCAAAGAGAGCCGAGCACACAGAAAGUGUUCAGUAAGUGCUAGCUUAAAGUCUGGUAAUGCCAGAGUCCAGGGCUCUUGCCGCCGCGGCUCACUCUCAACAGCUCACCUAUCUGGGGCGGCCCAUUGUGAGUGAGCUGUUGGAGAAGGUCAGGGAUUCCUCCGACCUCGCACCUAGUCUGGUUUUGAGCUAAUGCCACAGGUGUCAGAGUUUGCGGAGGGGAGAGGCGGGUGGGAGGCAGGCUCAAAUGCCUCAGCCCUGUCCCACCUCCGUCUUGCCGCCACCGGGCUCUCUUGACCAAGAAAAGAGUCCACAUUCUUAGGAGAGAGGAACAAAAUGAGAGGAAUAAUUAGCCUGAGCUUCCAGUGAUAAGAGGGCACUUGGCAGGUGUUCUUGAUGAUUCUCUUCACCUUUCCUCCCCUUUCUCAACUUGUCCUGUUUUUUCGUUUGAGGGAGAGAGAGAGAGCGCGAGCGAGCGAGAGCGCAAACACCAGCAGGGGAGAGUGGUGGAGGGAGAGAGUGCGAGCGAGCAAGAGACGCCUAAGCAGGCUCCACAUUUCGGGGCAUAGACUGUUGAGGGGCCUGAUCCAGGACCCUGAGAUCGUGACCCGAGCCAGAAUCAAGAGCCGGAAGCUCAACCGGCUGAGCCACCCGGGCGCCCCUCAACUUGCACUUUUAUAACUAAUGAAAGUUCUCUUUACAACUCCGAAUUGUGUGUGUGGGGGGGGGGGGGAUGCCGAGAGACAUUCUCUGCAUUAAAAAAUAAGUAGUGGGGAUGCCUGGGUGGUGCAGUCGGUUGAGCGACGACUUCGGCUCAGGUCAUGAUCUCACAGUGUGUGAGUUUGAGCCCCCCAUGGGCCUUGCUGCUGUCAGCGCAGAGCCCGCUUGGGAUCCUCUCAGCCCCCCUCUCUCUGCCCCUCCCCCACUCCCGCUCUCAAAGAUAAGCAUUAAAAAAAUAAUGAAAAGAACCACUUGCACCUUUCCUUUUUCCUGCAUUGGUGCCUGAUGAAGAAUUUAGAGUAAAUUAAAACUAGUCGCUGCUGUCCAAAGGGGUAGCUUUUAAAUCAGUCCUAAUUGGAACACCAGGUGGUUUCAACAGAGCCUGAGUUGGCCCCGGUGAUUCUGGCAAUGACAAGAGAUGGUGAAAAUCACCACAACUAUUUAGGAAGAAAAGCUUCAGCACAAGAUCUCAGUUGCCUUGGGACAGUUCUGUGUGGGCACCAGCAACUGCUGAGUUCUUUCGGCAGCUAUCAGAGGGCUGCCUGCCCUUUAAGCCUCAACAGAAUAAAAGGGGUUUCUACAGAGAGCCAGAGCUGGGGCAGUCAGGAAGAAAAUGGCAGUGAAGACAACUGUUCUGGAGGGGCACUUGGGACUUCACAAAACCAUUUGGGAGAAAAUAAGGAAGUUUGGCUUUCCUGCAGAAUGAAUGGAAGCAGAGCCAACCAAUUACUCUUUCGCAACUGUUGUUGCAGUCCCUUAUUUACUGUGAAGGACGCUGUUGCCUGAAAAACAGGUCUACAAACUAAGAGGAUUUAUUGCUAAGGUAUCUGUGAAGCUCUUUAAAAUCUGUUAAAUAUAAAAAUUUAUAAAAUAUGCACACACACACACCCACACUCCCCAAAUGCAAUUUAACUACCUGAGUCAGAGUGUAUUUUUUUUUAAUAUAAAAGUUAAAACUAAGUACACAGAUGCCAGAAGUCCCUUUCAUUACACCUCAUCUAUUAGAAAUAUAAACCUCAACCAACUUGUUUUUCAACUUCCUUUUGUCGUUAAUGAUGGGACUGGUGAUUUUGAAUGUAUGCCUAAAUUUUUGUUUUAGAAUUUAACUGGACAAAUCUGAUUUCUUGCCAGGUUUAUCAACUCUUUGAGUUCUAGUUACGGAGCUACCUCUUUCUGAAUUUCACUCCACCUAACUUCCUUUUCACUGUUCCAUUUCUGAUGCUCAACUGGCUAUUUCAUCUUUACUCAACCUUUCUUACAGUGUGUACUAUGACUGGCUCUUUUAUGUUAAAAGUGAGUUUUGCAUUUUUUAGUAGGAUAACUCUUCCCUUAUCUCUAGAUGCAGAACAAAAUCUAAAUGGAUCUGUCAAGAGACACCCUAGCCCCAGAACAAUACUUGUUCAAUGAAGGUUAUGGACAGAAUGACUAAUAGGCUUUUUAUCACCAUGGAGUCUUCAUUCAUUCAACAAGUAUUUAUUGAGCAUUAGGUGUCAGCCAGUACACUAGGCACUGUAAUAAUAAAUACUAUCUCUUUACUCUUGGUGCUUAAGCUAUUGAGAAAGACAGUAUUAAACAAUGUUUAAGUAUUAUGCAUAUUAAGAUAGGGGAAUAUUCAGCUGUCAUCUGUACAGUUAUGGUUUUUCAUUUUUUAGGUGGGGGAAGUCAUAGACUCCUUGCAUUUGAUCAAUGUCAUAGACCUUUGCCCUAGAAAACAAACAUACCCUCAAAAUCUUGCCAAUAAUUUCAAGUUAUUCAUGUGUCCUUUUGAAGCCUUUCCAUGCACUCUGGGUUUAGGAUUCCUACCAUGAAUGAAAAACACUAAAAUCAGAUGAAACCAGAAGAAGCAGGAAUCCUAAAAUAUAUGAAGGGGAAGAGAGACAAGGUGCUGAGGAGUAAGAGCAGCAAGAAUGAAAAAUACGUUUCCACAGAUUUAUUUUAACAUGUGUUAUCCCCAGCCAACAUACAUAAUUAAUGCUUCCUGGAACAAUCCCCUAUGGAGGAACCAAUGCCCCACCAAGUGAACCUUUCCCUCCCAACAAGAACACUUUAAGAAGCUACCAGCUCCUUCACCUUUAUAGCAACAUGAUGAGUGGUAAGGCGUGCUACAAAUCAAAACUAAGCAGGAUAAGGGGGAUGGACAGUUACUGGGACUUUGUGUGUUUGUGUUAUUUUAUAUAGUUAUACAGACUAUCAAGGAGGCCUUCUCUGAUAAAGUGAUAUUUGAGAAGAAAAUUGUAGAAGUAGGGGAGCAAACCAUGUGGUUUUCUAGGAGAGCUGUUAGGGCAAAGGGAGCAGCAAAAGGGAGGAGGCCAGUGGGCAAAGCAGAGUGAGUAAGGUGAGAGAAUGGUAGGAAAUGAGGCCAGAGAGGGAGAUGUAUGUGUGUCAGGUGUCCCAGGGUUGAGGUGAAAGGGUCAGGGGUAAGAGAUAGAAUCUGAGGGGACCAGACUCUGAUGGGAUCAUAGAAUGAAUGCUAUUAGCAAUGGGAAAACUGCUCAGUGAAACCCAGCAGGUGUUUUGCAUUGCAAUACCCACAACAGCACAAAUGCUGAAGUGGAGGAGUGGUUAGCCAUAUUGGAUAAUGGAGAGAGGCUUACUGAGCUUUACCUUACCAAGGUAAGGGUCCAUGUGUGUUAAAUGUGGACACCCCCUCUGUGUGUGUGUUCGAGGGGGUGGGAAUAGGGUGGAGCCCGGAAACUGAAAGAACAAUGGGGAAAAUACUUAGGGAAGCGGUCAGAAAACAGAAGGCUAGGAUAUCUUCAGUGGGAAGAGCUCAGAAAUAGAGAAAAGGAAAAGGAUCAGGAAAGAAGGGAAGGGAGUAAGGAACCAAUACAUGUCAAAUGUCCACAAUUUUCCAGGAUCUUGACAUAUAUAUUUUAAUUUGGCUUUCAAGCAAUACUAUGAGAUGGGUGUUAUUGUCCCCAUCUUAUAGAUAAGAAAAUUUCAGACCCAGAAAAAUUAAGUAAAUUGACAAGGCGAUACACUACUAGUAAAGAGUAGGAGAGGCAACUUUAUUAUUUUGUCGUCAGUUAUUACCUAUUUUCUUAUGUUGUUGUAUUGAUUCAUUCCUAAUAAUAUAUUUGGAGAAACAAAAUUAUGUUACAAUUAGGAAGACAACAAAAGUGCAAAGUAUUAGGUAUGGUUAUAAUUUUGCUUAUUGGGCUCUCCUCACUGUUGGAUUACACACCUGGCCUUACAAAAUAAUGCCACAAGAUGGCAGCAUCUUACUCAUUGGUUUGGGGACCACUCAGGUUCCAUGGAUAACUGUUUCAAUAAAAAUAUUGAAUAAAAAUUUUAGGAUUGCUUGUUCUAGCUUCGAGGAGAACGCUGGUGCAAUUUUGAUUGGGAUUGCAGUGAAUGUGUAGAUAGCUUUGGGUAGUAUUGACAUUUUAACAAUAUUUAUUCUUCCAACCCAUGAGCACGGAAUGUUUUUCCAUUUCUUUGUAUCUUCAAUUUCCUUCAUAAGCUUUCUAUAGAUUUCAGCAUACAGAUCUUUUACAUCUUUGGUUAGGUUUAUUCCUAGGUAUUUUAUGCUUCUUGGUGCAUUGUGAAUGGGAUCAGUUUCUUUAUUUGUCUUUCUCUUGCUUCAUUAUUAGUGUAUAAGAAUGCAA